rnacentral:misc_RNA from 1 species
UCAAACUUGGUCAUUUAGAGGAAGUAAAAGUCGUAACAAGGUUUCCGUAGGUGAACCUGCGGAAGGAUCAUUAUCGAGUACCGAGGCCCCCGUGCCUCUGCUCCCACCCUGUGUUGAUCUGCAACGUUGCUUUGGCGGGCCGGCGGGUACACCCGCCGCCGGGCUGCGCCUGGAGAGCGCCCGCCAGAGGACCACGCGAAACUCUUUGCAACUGAGCGUCUGAGCACUUUGAGAAUUGACCAAAACUUUCAACAACGGAUCUCUUGGUUCUGGCAUCGAUGAAGAACGCAGC